GACAGAGGGGGCAAGCGUUGCUCGGAAUUACUGGGCGUAAAGGGCGCGUAGGCGGGAUGGCAAGUCGGUCGUGAAAUACCUCGGCUCAACUGAGGAGCGUCGAUCGAAACUGCCGUUCUUGAGGGUUGCAGAGGAGACUGGAAUUCCCGGUGUAGCGGUGAAAUGUGUAGAGAUCGGGAGGAACACCGGUGGCGAAGGCGGGUCUCUGGGCAAUUCCUGACGCUGAGGCACGAAGGCCAGGGGAGCAAACGGG
rnacentral:rRNA from 1 species